UCAGUCAGUCCUGCCACCAGUCACCGCUCAGCCUCGGAUGGCAAGGGACACACGCUUACCUUUCCGACCCGGGUAUCCCCCUGUGUUUCAUUUGUGAUGAUUCUGUGACGCCUGUGGACGGCUGUGUGUCCCUGGCAUCCCUGCAACACACAUACAGACACGUUCAUUGACCACAGGUUAUCAUUUAACAGCAAAACUUGAUUACGUUACAAAUGUUUAUAAAGAUAUCCAAAACUAUAGAACCACACACCAAUAUAAGAAAGUGAAAGAAGUGAAGAUGAAGGGGAGGAAGUGAAGGAAUGAAGAUGAGAAAGUAGAGGAGGAGGAGGUGGGAGAGCGAGUCGUGAGGGUGAUGACGAUGUUUACACUAAAAGAUGUUGAGCUGUGGGACAGGGCCAUGAUGAACCCUUGUGAUGGUGGAGUGUUGUGGUGCUCCAGACACUCCUAACAGCAGGAGGGUGAUCGCCACCACCACAUGCAGAUCUGCGUUCUACAACCGUCGCCCACGCUCAUUCACAAAGCCCCCAGAUUGACCGGACUCAGUUAAAUUGUACCGUGUGCGGCGUUGCGGUUCAUUACACCUGUCACAACGAGCGGCGCCAUCAGGCCACCACACACACACACACACACACACACACACACAGAGAAAGAGCAGCAGCAGCACCACGAUCGGGUGAGCGGAGCCAGACCUUCCCAUCACCAGCAGGUCAAAUGAAGGAAAGAGUUUUAAGUGCAGAAAAGUGAAAAUGUUUCAGAUAAAGUGAAGGAACCCAAGUGAAAUUUCGGAAAGUGUAAUCUGACAAAGAAAGGGCAGGAAGAAAGAAUGAAGAGGGCAAGGCGCAGCGGUACAGAAAGCAGGGACCAAGGAAGGAUUCGAAUCAAGUUUCCAACAAGAACGAGGAGGAGGAGGAGAAAGGUACAGAGGUUCAUCAUGUACGUAUAUGUGCAGCACGGGAUGAAGGCGGUGGAGUGGCGGCGGCUGAGGGUAAUAUUGUCUGGUUGGUGAAUCGAGGAAGCGUCGGGACAAGUACAGAGCAGGCAGUGGCGGACGGGAGAGUUGGUGUUCUCCAAACCCAACGAUGUAUCCUGAGGGACUCCACUCCGGCACACUUUCAUCUCGCCUCUCAUUCCUGGAACUUUAAUCAGUGAAGAAACCUCGGGUGGAGACAAACUUGUCCUCUAACCUUAAUUAAGAAGCACUCCCACUGACCUGGCCCUCGUUGUGUGUGUGUGCCCUGUCUGAGGCUUCACAAAGUGCUUCGAAACUCGUCCAGAACCAGAGGCAGUGAACACAGACUCGAUGAACCCUUGUCGGCCAUGCAGAGGCAAACGACCGAGCUCAUUGUGGACCUCGUGUUUGUGCCUCUCUGUGUGCUGGCCUGGCAUUCUGUGUGGACGUGGCGGUGUUGUCUACACCGGUGGUGGUGAUGGUGAUAGCGAUGGUGAAUGUGCGGGACUGUGGUGGUGGUGGUGAUGAUGGUAUUUGCGGAUGCAGCAUCUAGAAAUCGUGGUGGUGAUGGUGGUUGUUAUGGUGUGCCACCGAAGUCCCGAGCGGCUUCGAGACAAGGAAGAGAAGCUACGCGGCUCACUUCUGCCAGUCAGUCAGUGGUCAGUGG